UACGAAGGGGGCAAGCGUUGUUCGGAAUUACUGGGCGUAAAGGGUGCGUAGGCGGCGCGGUAAGUCGGGUGUGAAAUUUCGAGGCUUAACUUCGAAACUGCAUUCGAUACUGCCGUGCUAGAGGACUGGAGAGGAGACUGGAAUUUACGGUGUAGCGGUGAAAUGCGUAGAUAUCGUAAGGAAGACCAGUGGCGAAGGCGGGUCUCUGGACAGUUCCUGACGCUGAGGCACGAAGGCCAGGGGAGCAAACGGG
rnacentral:rRNA from 1 species